GCCAGGCAUGGUGGCUCAUGCCUGUAAUCCCAACUACUCAGGAGGCUGAGACAGAAGAAUCGCUUGAACUCAGGAGGCGGAGCUUGCAGUGAGCUACGAUUGUGCCACUGCACUCCAGCCUGAGCAACAGAGUGAGACUCUGUCUCAA
rnacentral:sRNA from 1 species